AUCUUAUGUCCAGCAAAAUCAUGCCUAAUAAGACUUAUGGGGUAAACUGGGCUUAGGUUAGACCAUUUAAGACCUCACAACAUUUGUAAGUAGAACCAAUUAGUAAAUACCCUGGCCUGGAUCAGCUGCCACUGGUGCUUAUAGUAUGGCCAUCCUUUCCCUGUGGCCUUUAUAUCUUGACACACCUAUUUCCUCCUUAGAGAUGAGGACCCUUGAGGACAUUUUCUUCCAACAGAGACCCUCAUCACCUAAGGAAAAAAUGCAAUCUUGGUAGUGGGGGGGGGGUAGAUAAGUGAAAAGGGGGACAGGAUCAGAUUGAACAAGAAAACUCAAUGUACAUAUGUUAUAAAGGAAGUGGGAAAUGCCUCUGGCAGGGAGACAACAAAUGGGACUGGGGAGAAGGCAUGAUUGAUGAAGACACACUGGACACUUGGACUCUGACUUGUAACCUCCUUGUACAACCUUUGAAGUUCAGAGGGGGAAAAUGCAAUCUAGAGGUAAUCAUUUUAAGCCAUUGUAUUUAAACAUAGGAGAAGUGUCUUCAUUUCUCACCUCUCAUCUUCUUCAGAUAGUAGUUACAAACACAG